rnacentral:rRNA from 1 species
UUGGAGGGCAAGUCUGGUGCCAGCAGCCGCGGUAAUUCCAGCUCCAAUAGCGUAUAUUAAAGUUGUUGCAGUUAAAAAGCUCGUAGUUGAACUUCGGAAUCAAUGGWUUGGUCAUGCCGUUGGUAUGUACUGGUCAUAUUGGUUCUCACCUUCUAAGGAACCAUAAUGUCAUUCAUUUGAUGUUUUGGGGAAUUAGGACUGUUACCUUGAAAAAAUUAGAGUGUUUAAAGCAGGCUAACGCUUGAAUACAUUAGCAUGGAAUAAUGAAAUAGGACAUCGCAUUSUAUUUUGUUGGUUUCUAGGAUCGAUGUAAUGAUUAAUAGGGAUAGUUGGGGGCAUUAGUAUUCAAUUGUCAGAGGUGAAAUUCUUGGAUUUAUUGAAGACUAACUACUGCGAAAGCAUUUGCCAAGGAUGUUUUCAUUAAUCAAGAACGAAAGUUAGGGGAUYGAAGACGAUCAGAUACCGUCGUAGUCUUAACCAUAARCUAUGCCGACUAGGGAUCGGAUGAUGUUAAUUUUUUAAUGACUCAWRSGGCGCCUUACGGGAAAC